rnacentral:rRNA from 1 species
GAGAGGAUAUUCAGGCACAAUGGAACUGAGGACCGGUCCAGAAUCUUACGGGAGGCAGCAGUGGGGGAAUAUUGGGACCAUGGGGGCGCAGGCCUGGAUCCCAGCCCAUACCCGCCGUGAGGUGAAGAAGGGCCCUCGGGGUUUGUAAAGCUCUUUUUGUUGCGAAAAGAAAUCCUUGUCGGUUUAAUACCUGGCAGGGAUGACGGGUACCCAAAGAAUAAGCACCGGCUUAACUUCGUGCCCAGCAGCCGCGGUAAUACGAAGGGUGCAAGCGUUACUCGGAAUUACUGGGCGUAAAGCGUGCGUCAGGUGGUUGUUUAAGUCUGUCGUGAAAGCCCUGGGCUCAACCUGGGAAUUGCGAUGGAUACUGGGCAACUAGAGUGUGGUAGAGGGUGGCGGAAUUCCCGGUGUAGCAGUGAAAUGCGUAGAGAUCGGGAGGAACAUCCGUGGCGAAGGCGGCCACCUGGGCCAACACUGACACUGAGGCACGAAAGCGUGGGGAGCAAACAGGAUUAGAUACCCUGGUAGUCCACGCCCUAAACGAUGCGAACUGGAUGUUGGGUUCAACUUGGAACCCAGUAUCGAAGCUAACGCGUUAAGUUCGCCGCCUGUUGA